UUUCCGUAGGUGAACCUGCGUAAUAUAUAUUCUAAGGAAUAUACAUUAUCAACCCACCUGUGAAUCCUACCUGUUGCUUCCGUAGAGCAGCGACUCCUGUCGCCUCUGAUGAUGAUAUCAGUCAUCUAAUGAGAGUCUCUAUGGGAGGUCCACUUUAAACAAUUGUAUUCUUAUGACCUCAGUCUGACCUGUAUACAUUAAGUUUAAAACUUUCAACAACGGAUCUCUUGGUUCUCGCAUCGAUGAAGAACGCAGCGAAAUGCGAUAAGUAGUGUGAAUUGCAGAAUUCAGUGAAUCAUCGAAUCUUUGAACGCACAUUGCGCCCUCCGGCAUUCCGGGGGGCAUGCCUGUUCGAGCGUCAUUAAAACCACUCAAGCUCUUUUGCUUGGUACUGGAAGAGGAGUUCCUUCAGUUCUCCCUUCUGAAAUGCAAUGGCGGAGAGUUACAUGUUCCCUAGCGUAGUAAGCAUAACUUUCGCUUGGAACGUGUGACUCUGUUGCCCUCAAUCCCCAUUCUUUAGGUUGACCUCGGAUCAGGUAGGGAUACCCGCUGAACUUAAGCAUAUCAAUAAGCGG
rnacentral:rRNA from 1 species